rnacentral:snRNA from 1 species
AUGCUGUCUUCAGCAACACAUAUACUAAAACUGGAACACUCUGCAGCAGAUCAGCAGUGGCCCCUGCGCAAGGAUGACAGGCAAAUUCACAAAGCCUUCCAUAUUUUU